rnacentral:rRNA from 1 species
GUUAUAUGGUCAAGUGAAGAAGCGCAUACGGUGGAUGCCUUGGCAGUCAGAGGCGAUGAAAGACGUGGUAGCCUGCGAAAAGCUUCGGGGAGUCGGCAAACAGACUUUGAUCCGGAGAUCUCUGAAUGGGGGAACCCACCUAGGAUAACCUAGGUAUCUUGUACUGAAUCCAUAGGUGCAAGAGGCGAACCAGGGGAACUGAAACAUCUAAGUACCCUGAGGAAAAGAAAUCAACCGAGAUUCCCUUAGUAGUGGCGAGCGAACGGGGAUUAGCCCUUAAGCUUCAUUGAUUUUAGCGGAACGCUCUGGAAAGUGCGGCCAUAGUGGGUGAUAGCCCCGUACGCGAAAGGAUCUUUGAAGUGAAAUCGAGUAGGACGGAGCACGAGAAACUUUGUCUGAACAYGGGGGGACCAUCCUCCAAGGCUAAAUACUACUGACUGACCGAUAGUGAACCAGUACCGUGAGGGAAAGGCGAAAAGAACCCCGGAGAGGGGAGUGAAAUAGAACCUGAAACCGUAUGCGUACAAGCAGUGGGAGCCUACUUGUUAGGUGACUGCGUACCUUUUGUAUAAUGGGUCAGCGACUUAUAUUCAGUGGCAAGCUUAACCGUAUAGGGUAGGCGUAGCGAAAGCGAGUCUUAAUAGGGCGUUUAGUCGCUGGGUAUAGACCCGAAACCGGGCGAUCUAUCCAUGAGCAGGUUGAAGGUUAGGUAACACUGACUGGAGGACCGAACCCACUCCCGUUGAAAAGGUAGGGGAUGACUUGUGGAUCGGAGUGAAAGGCUAAUCAAGCUCGGAGAUAGCUGGUUCUCCUCGAAAGCUAUUUAGGUAGCGCCUCAUGUAUCACUCUGGGGGGUAGAGCACUGUUUCGGCUAGGGGGUCAUCCCGACUUACCAAACCGAUGCAAACUCCGAAUACCCAGAAGUGCCGAGCAUGGGAGACACACGGCGGGUGCUAACGUCCGUCGUGAAAAGGGAAACAACCCAGACCGCCAGCUAAGGUCCCAAAGUUGUGGUUAAGUGGUAAACGAUGUGGGAAGGCUUAGACAGCUAGGAGGUUGGCUUAGAAGCAGCCAYCCUUUAAAGAAAGCGUAAUAGCUCACUAGUCGAGUCGGCCUGCGCGGAAGAUGUAACGGGGCUCAAACCACACACCGAAGCUGCGGGUGUCACGUAAGUGACGCGGUAGAGGAGCGUUCUGUAAGCCUGUGAAGGUGAGUUGAGAAGCUUGCUGGAGGUAUCAGAAGUGCGAAUGCUGACAUGAGUAACGACAAUGGGUGUGAAAAACACCCACGCCGAAAGACCAAGGGUUCCUGCGCAACGUUAAUCGACGCAGGGUUAGUCGGUUCCUAAGGCGAGGCUGAAAAGCGUAGUCGAUGGGAAACAGGUUAAUAUUCCUGUACUUCUGGUUACUGCGAUGGAGGGACGGAGAAGGCUAGGCCAGCUUGGCGUUGGUUGUCCAAGUUUAAGGUGGUAGGCUGAAAUCUUAGGUAAAUCCGGGGUUUCAAGGCCGAGAGCUGAUGACGAGUCGUCUUUUAGAUGACGAAGUGGUUGAUGCCAUGCUUCCAAGAAAAGCUUCUAAGCUUCAGGUAACCAGGAACCGUACCCCAAACCGACACAGGUGGUCGGGUAGAGAAUACCAAGGCGCUUGAGAGAACUCGGGUGAAGGAACUAGGCAAAAUGGCACCGUAACUUCGGGAGAAGGUGCGCCGGCUAGGGUGAAGGAUUUACUCCGUAAGCYCUGGCUGGUCGAAGAUACCAGGCCGCUGCGACUGUUUAUUAAAAACACAGCACUCUGCAAACACGAAAGUGGACGUAUAGGGUGUGACGCCUGCCCGGUGCCGGAAGGUUAAUUGAUGGGGUUAGCGCAAGCGAAGCUCUUGAUCGAAGCCCCGGUAAACGGCGGCCGUAACUAUAACGGUCCUAAGGUAGCGAAAUUCCUUGUCGGGUAAGUUCCGACCUGCACGAAUGGCGUAACGAUGGCGGCGCUGUCUCCACCCGAGACUCAGUGAAAUUGAAAUCGCUGUGAAGAUGCAGUGUAUCCGCGGCUAGACGGAAAGACCCCGUGAACCUUUACUGUAGCUUUGCACUGGACUUUGAGCCUGCUUGUGUAGGAUAGGUGGGAGGCUUUGAAGCGUGGACGCCAGUUCGCGUGGAGCCAUCCUUGAAAUACCACCCUGGCAUGCUUGAGGUUCUAACUCUGGUCCGURAUCCGGAUCGAGGACAGUGUAUGGUGGGCAGUUUGACUGGGGCGGUCUCCUCCUAAAGAGUAACGGAGGAGUACGAAGGUGCGCUCAGACCGGUCGGAAAUCGGUCGYAGAGUAUAAAGGCAAAAGCGCGCUUGACUGCGAGACAGACACGUCGAGCAGGUACGAAAGUAGGUCUUAGUGAUCCGGUGGUUCUGUAUGGAAGGGCCAUCGCUCAACGGAUAAAAGGUACUCCGGGGAUAACAGGCUGAUACCGCCCAAGAGUUCAUAUCGACGGCGGUGUUUGGCACCUCGAUGUCGGCUCAUCACAUCCUGGGGCUGAAGCCGGUCCCAAGGGUAUGGCUGUUCGCCAUUUAAAGUGGUACGCGAGCUGGGUUUAGAACGUCGUGAGACAGUUCGGUCCCUAUCUGCCGUGGACGUUUGAGAUUUGAGAGGGGCUGCUCCUAGUACGAGAGGACCGGAGUGGACGAACCUCUGGUGUUCCGGUUGUCACGCCAGUGGCAUUGCCGGGUAGCUAUGUUCGGAAAAGAUAACCGCUGAAAGCAUCUAAGCGGGAAACUUGCCUCAAGAUGAGAUCUCACUGGGAACUUGAUUCCCCUGAAGGGCCGUCGAAGACUACGACGUUGAUAGGCUGGGUGUGUAAGCGUUGUGAGGCGUUGAGCUAACCAGUACUAAUUGCCCGUGAGGCUUGACCAUAUAACACCCAAACA